AGAAAGGCUGGAUAUGUAAAAUCUCCUGCUGCAUUACACUGCAGAGCAAUAUAUGUGUAGCAGAGCUGUUAUAGCCGAGAAGGUCUAAGGGGAAGCAAGACAAGGAAAUAAGGACAUAUAGAGCAGGAUAAAUAAGCUGUCCCAUGAGAUCCUGCUUGGCAUCGUGCUGCUAGACUAGACGAGGUCUUCUGCAGUUCCUAUGUCAUAUCUCUGAGCUCUGUCUGGAUGUCUAGAAAACUCUAAGGUAUCUCAAAAGCCACCUCCAUUCAAGCAGUUGAAUUAAACUCUUUGAAUAAGAUUCAGCUCCAAGUUCAGACACCUACAUUUGAGUAGCUACAGUUAGGUAUCUGAGAACAGUACCCGACAGUCUCCUCUGAGUCUGCAACUAUAGAAGUGCACCUAAUGCAAAGAUACAACCAAGUAUCUGGUUCUACCUGAUUUCUAAAAUAUGUCCUAAAAUCUAGAUCAUGGGGGUCAAGGUCUUAACUUGGUCUUGAGCAGGUUCUAUAAGAGUCUGCAUGAAAGAAAAGCCUGUAUCUCAACAAUUAUAUUUUCAACGCUGCUCAGGCAGGCUCCAGAGGUGCAGAAGUCUCUAAGAAUGUUACCUUUCAAAGGCUUAGUUAGAUUUCUUUGUCUCUUUCAACAGCAGGCACUUUCAGGCACACUAGCUCAUAGGCAAAGGCCUAGGGAAGAUCCUAUGCCACUAAGCAGGCACCUAAGGAGGCAUCCACAUCAACUAACUUUAGAUAUCAACUGAGAAACCACCUUCCUCUGAUCUAAUUCUUGCACUUUAUCUUUGUAGUCGCAGGAGAAAAAUGAGCCGGUUUAGCUUAUGAGCCAUCAGACAUAUUUUAGAUAUCUGCUCAAGAGUAAGAUGUUUCUUACUUUGCAAUGUUUAUCUCUUUCCACAAGGAAGUCCAGCCGACCAGGUCAUAGACAGGUGUCUACACUGUGGAAAUCUAUGUGUAGGUAGAUGAAUUCUACAUCCUGGGAUAUCUGCUCAGUCACUAUUGUUCUGUUUCACAUAUGAUGAGAAAUAAUGGUCUUAAAAAGCUUAGGGGUGGCUUCUGUUGGAGCUGCCAACCAGAUCUGGGGGAGGUGCAUGCCUAAUAAAGGCUUAAUAUUUCUCA
rnacentral:lncRNA from 1 species